UGCCCAGGGCCCAGGUGUCCCGAGAGAGCAGACUUGGAGCGUCUCCACCAUGGCCUGGGCUCUGCUUCUGCUCACGAUUCUCACUCAGGACACAGGAUGCUGGGCGCAGUCUGCUCUGACUCAGCCUCCCUCAGUCUCUGGGUCUCCUGGAGAGAAGGUCACCCUCACCUGUAUUGGAACCAGCAGUGACAUUGGGGGCUAUAAUUAUGUCUCCUGGUACCAGCAGCUGCCAGGAACAGCCCCCAAACCUCUGAUAUAUAGUGUGAGUAAUCGGCCUUCAGGGAUCCCUGAUCGCUUCUCUGGCUCCAAGUCUGGCAACACGGCCUCCCUGAUCAUCUCUGGCCUCGCGCCUGAUGAUGAGGCUGAUUAUUACUGCUUUUCAUAUGCGGGCAGUAGCACUUGGGUGUUCGGUGGAGGGACCAAGCUGACCGUCCUAGGUCAGCCCAAGGCCAGCCCCUCAGUCACCCUGUUCCCACCUUCCACUGAGGAGCUCGGGACAGACAAGGCCACAGUGGUGUGUCUCAUCAAUGACUUCUACCCGGGCGUUGUGACGGUGGCCUGGAAAGCAGAUGGCAAAGACGUCACCCAGGGAGUGCAGACCACGCAGGCCACCAAACAGAGCAACAACAAGUACAUGGCCAGCAGCUACCUGAGCCUGACUGCAGACCAGUGGCGUUCGCACACAAGAGUCGGCUGCCACGUCACACAUGAAGGCAGCACAGUGGAGAAGAGUCUGGCCCCUGCGGAGUGUUCCUAGCACCUGACCAUCACGCCAUCCUUGGGGGACUAAAGCACGGGGACCCCGGGGAAGAGUCCCCUUCCCGACCCCACCCACCCAUUCCUGCCUUGCUCUCUGAACCCAUAAAUGCUCAAUAAAAUAUCCCCUCUCAAU